rnacentral:rRNA from 1 species
AUUCCAGCUCCAAUAGCGUAUAUUAAAGUUGUUGCAGUUAAAAAGCUCGUAGUUGAAUUUCUGGUGGGAGUGUACAGUCCGACACUGAGUGUUGGUUCUUGUGUGUCUCCGGCCAUCCUUGGAGUGAAUCUGUCUGGCAUUUAGUUGUUGGGCAGAGUAUCUCCAUCGUUUACUGUGAGGAAAGGAAAGUGUUCAAAGCAGGCUUACGCCGUUGAAUCUUUUAGCAUGGAAUAAUGGAAUAGGACUUUGGUCUUAUUUUGUUGGUUUCUAAGGCCGAGGUAAUGAUUAAUAGGGAUAGUUGGGGGCGUUUAUAUUCCGUUGUCAGAGGUGAAAUUCUUGGAUUUACGGAAGAUAAACUACUGCGAAAGCAUUCGCCAAGGAUGUUUUCAUCG